CUUCCUGCCUCAGCCUCCCAAAUGUUGGGUGAGCCCUUCCAAUGGGAACAAAAAGAUCUGCUUCUAAGAUCUUCACAUCAGUCCAGGGCUAAGUUGGUUCUGUCAGCCAAGAGCCUCAAUUCCUCAGAUUGGUGUCUCUACUUGGGUGAUUGAGCUUUCCCCCAACAUGGAGGCUAGGUUCCCAAGGGGGAAGCAGAAGUAACCCGGAACAUUGUGUCUUCUACGUUUUACUGGUUGAAGCAGUUAUGGGUCCAACCCAAGUUCAGCACCACCCUCAGGGGAAGAAAUGGUGGAUCACCUGCACAGCAAGGGGUCACAACUGAGACCUCAGUGAUCCCCGGAUGCUGUAAUGCUCCAGGACAAGACCACGCCUGCGGGAGAUGCCAGGGAGGAACCAAAUCUUCAUCUGCGUAGUUCCUCAUUGUUCUCAGAUUUCCACUGCCCCCCAGUCUUUUUACACCUUGUUUAUCCCAAUGUGAAGUACUGAACUCUGCAGUGCACUUGUUACAUCUGUUUCCCCACGUACUGAAUAAAAGGUGCUGCAAGCUAGGGGGCUUUGUCUUUGCUGCCCAGAGCAGCACUGAUCAGAC
ensembl:lncRNA